rnacentral:misc_RNA from 1 species
CCUAAGAGAUACGUGUUAUGUGCAGUGCUCACACAGAUUGUCUGAUGAAGAACGAGCAAAAGCGCGUCUGCGAAGCUGACAAAAGUCCCCUUCGUCUAGAGGCCUAGGACACCGCCCUUUCACGGCGGUAACAGGGGUUCGAAUCCCCUAGGGGACGCCAAUGCGCGGUAUGAGUGAAAGGCGUACCACUUAUCUGACGAGAGUCAGAGAAUAACUAAGCUAAUUCAAAUGAGUUAUCUUACUUAUUAUGCUCUUUAACUAUCUGGAACAAGCUGAAAAAUUGAAAACAAAUCAAUAUAUCACCGAGGUAUAUUGGUGAGUCUCUCAAAAUCUCAAACCUUAAAGUUUGUCACGCAAAGUUUAUCUUUGAAAAAGACACUUUCGGGUUGUGA